GUGCCAGCAGCCGCGGUAAUACGUAGGGUGCGAGCGUUAAUCGGAAUUACUGGGCGUAAAGCGUGCGCAGGCUGUUUUGUAAGUCAGAUGUGAAAUCCCCGAGCUCAACUUGGGAACUGCGUUUGAAACUACAAGACUAGAAUAUGUCAGAGGGGGGUAGAAUUCCACGUGUAGCAGUGAAAUGCGUAGAGAUGUGGAGGAAUACCAAUGGCGAAGGCAGCCCCCUGGGAUAAUAUUGACGCUCAUGCACGAAAGCGUGGGGAGCAAACAGGAUUAGAUACCCUGGUAGUCCACGCCCUAAACGAUGUCUACUAGUUGUUGGUGGAGUAAAAUCCAUGAGUAACGCAGCUAACGCGUGAAGUAGACCGCCUGGGGAGUACGGUCGCAAGAUUAAAACUCAAAGGAAUUGACGGGA
rnacentral:rRNA from 1 species